UACGUAGGUGGCGAGCGUUGUCCGGAUUUACUGGGCGUAAAGGGAGCGUAGGCGGACUUUUAAGUGAGAUGUGAAAUACCCGGGCUCAACUUGGGUGCUGCAUUUCAAACUGGAAGUCUAGAGUGCAGGAGAGGAGAAUGGAAUUCCUAGUGUAGCGGUGAAAUGCGUAGAGAUUAGGAAGAACACCAGUGGCGAAGGCGGCUCUCUGGACUGUAACUGACGCUGAGGCACGAAAGCGUGGGGAGCAAACAGGAUUAGAUACCCGGGUAGGUCCCU
rnacentral:rRNA from 1 species